ensembl:rRNA 5S_rRNA 5S ribosomal RNA
ACAUCUGGUCGAGGCUGUGUGGCCACCCGGUCCCAGCAGACCCCGGAGAACAACCACAUUCGCUGAUGGUGGAACAAGGUCGUUAAGGGCGAAGCCUGGGGCCAGAUGCG